rnacentral:sRNA from 1 species
UUGAGAUGGUGAUGGUGAUGAUGAUUAUGAUGGUUAUGGUGAUUGUUGUGAUGUAUCAUCCAAAUCACUCACCUCCAACAUAACCAUCACCUUCACCAUCACCAUUAUGA